UAUGUCGUCACGAGAGAUAAUAUAAAAUAAGGCAGACUGAUAAAAACUAAUUCUGCGGUUCACAGUAGCGCACUAGAGCCAAUCACCUGCUGCAACGACUAUGGAAGACCAAACAGUCAUGUUUUUGACCCUCUGCAUCGUCUUUUUAAUGUUCUUCUUGGUGGCAAUGCUGAUUAUAAAGUGCCAUGCCCUCCUUCCCGAAAACUACAUGUUCAUGAGCACUGCGCAGAAGUGGCGGUUCUUGAAACAGAGCGUCCAGCGAUGGUGGUCACGUCGCUUCGGCGACAGCUCGCCGAUGGACAACUCGGACAGCGCCGACAUCACCGUCGCCAGCAGUCCGGCGUCCCUCCGGUCGGAAAUCACGGCCGACGUCGCCCCGCCGCCGCGCUACGACGACGUCGUCGACAGCAGCCAGCCGCCGCCCUACUCUCCACCCUUCAUCAUCAGCCCACCGAGCUACUCGGAGGUGGCCGCCCACCAAAGCUAACCAACGACGAAAACAAGGACAAUAAAAUUCACUUAUCUCCCUGGAUUAGGCCUAAUAAUCCGACACGAAUUGGCAAGUGCAAUAAAAAAGCCGAGAGAUAAUGAGAGAAGAGUCGUGUCAAAAGAACCGCUUUGUUUUCCGUCAGACUGCAGCUACGUUUCAAGACUAACACCAUGGACAAUACUGAAGGUGAACUUGCGUUGACCGCCGUGCUAGUAGUCGUCGUCGCCGCCAUUCUGAUAUUCCUUUUCCUCGUCACGAUGUUCCUACUGUGCCGAUUGAAACUGGCGACGCCACCGGCGCCGUCGACGCGAGCAACCCGCAACUCGAUGAUCACGGCCAUGGCCGCCGCCCUGGCCGAGCGGGCGCGCCGCUCCUUCCGACGCCAGCGGCCACCGACCUACGACGAGGCCGUGGCCGCGAGCCCGUCGACCAGCGACCUGCCGCAAGAACCGCCUCCGUACAGCGAGGCCAUCAAGCAGCAGCAAGUGGCGCCGCCGGCUUACGAUUCGCAGGAGCAGCACAUCUGAUUUCGUCACGCAACAAUUUUAUUUUAUCGACGUGUGAAUGUGAAAACUGCGAGGACUCUGUGAUAAGAAGGAAGACUGAUUGUGAGCCAUGCGUUUUCAAAUCGAGUGAAGACUGAGAAUGGGCCAAUUUUGUGGUGACUGUCUGUGCGGAGAGCCUGUUUUUGUGCGUCAUUUAAAUUUUCAACAAAUUUAUCAUUUAUCACGGUCUCAAUAAAUUUUCCAAUUAUUUUCUUAAA